UAGCACUACACAGAGCGUCUUGAUGCAACU
rnacentral:piRNA from 1 species